UCUUCCACAAUGGACGCAAGUCUGAUGGAGCAACGCCGCGUGAGUGAAGAAGGUUUUCGGAUCGUAAAGCUCUGUUGUUGGUGAAGAAAGAUAGUGAGAGUAACUGCUCAUUAUUUGCCGGUAAUCAACCAGAAAGUCACGGCUAACUACGUGCCAGCAGCCGCGGUAAUACGUAGGUGGCAAGCGUUGUCCGGAUUUAUUGGGCGGAAAGCGAGCGCAGGCGGAAAGAUAAGUCAGAUGUGAAAGCCCUCGGCUUAACCGAGGAAUAGCAUCGGAAACUGUCUUUCUUGAGUGCAGAAGAGGAGAGUGGAACUCCAUGUGUAGCGGUGGAAUGCGUAGAUAUAUGGAAGAACACCAGUGGCGAAGGCGGCUCUCUGGUCUGUAACUGACGCUGAGGCUCGAAAGCAUGGGUAGCGAACAGG
rnacentral:rRNA from 1 species